rnacentral:rRNA from 1 species
AUUGAACGCUGGCGGCAUGCCUUACACAUGCAAGUCGAACGGUAACGCGGGGCAACCUGGCGACGAGUGGCGAACGGGUGAGUAAUGCAUCGGAACGUGCCCAGUAGUGGGGGAUAGCCCGGCGAAAGCCGGAUUAAUACCGCAUACGACCUACGGGUGAAAGGGGGGGAUCGCAAGACCUCACGCUCUUGGAGCGGCCGAUGUCAGAUUAGCUAGUUGGUGGGGUAAAGGCCUACCAAGGCGACGAUCUGUAGCUGGUCUGAGAGGACGACCAGCCACACUGGGGCUGUGACACGGCCCGGGCUCCUACGGGAGGCAGCAGUGAGGAAUUUUGGACAAUGGGCGAAAGCCUGAUCCAGCCAUGCCGCGUGCGGGAAGAAGGCCUUCGGGUUGUAAACCGCUUUUGUCAGGGAAGAAAUCUUCUGGGUUAAUACCGCGGGAGGAUGACGGUACCUGAAGAAUAAGCACCGGCUAACUACGUGCCAGCAGCCGCAGUAAAAC